GGAGCGUUGGCCUAAUGGAUAAGGCUUUAGACUUCGGACCUAAAGAUUGCGGGUUCGAGUCCCGUACGCUUCA